rnacentral:rRNA from 1 species
AUUGAACGCUGGCGGCAGGCUUAACACAUGCAAGUCGAGCGAGCGGCGGACGGGUGAGUAAUGUCUGGGAAACUGCCUGAUGGAGGGGGAUAACUACUGGAAACGGUAGCUAAUACCGCAUACCAUCAGCUGUGCCCAGAUUGGAUUAGCUAGUAGGUGGGGUAAUGGCUCACCUAGGCGACGAUCCCUAGCUGGGCUGAGAGGAUGACCGGCCACACUGGAACUGAGACACGGUCCAGACUCCUACGGGAGGCAGCAGUGGGGAAUAUUGCACAAUGGACGAAAGCCUGAUGCAGCCAUGCCGCGUGUGUGAAGAAGGCUUUCGGGUUGUAAAGCACUUUCAGCGGGGAGGCGGUACUCGAAGAGAAAGCACCGGCUAACUCCGUGCCAGCAGCCGCGGUAAUAC